AUGGACGAAAGUCUGACCGAGCAACGCCGCGUGAGUGAAGAAGGUUUUCGGAUCGUAAAACUCUGUUGGUAGAGAAGAACGUUGGUGAGAGUGGAAAGCUCAUCAAGUGACGGUAACUACCCAGAAAGGGACGGCUAACUACGUGCCAGCAGCCGCGGUAAUACGUAGGUCCCGAGCGUUGUCCGGAUUUAUUGGGCGUAAAGCGAGCGCAGGUGGUUUAUUAAGUCUGGUGUAAAAGGCAGUGGCUCAACCAUUGUAUGCAUUGGAAACUGGUAGACUUGAGUGCAGGAGAGGAGAGUGGAAUUCCAUGUGUAGCGGUGAAAUGCGUAGAUAUAUGGAGGAACACCGGUGGCGAAAGCGGCUCUCUGGCCUGUAACUGACACUGAGGCUCGAAAGCGUGGGGAGCAAACAGGAUUAGAUACCCUGGUAGUCCACGCCGUAAACGAUGAGUGCUAGAUGUAGGGAGCUAUAAGUUCUCUGUAUCGCA
rnacentral:rRNA from 1 species